rnacentral:lncRNA from 1 species
CUAUACUAGCAUUGUAGUUAUUAAGAUCUUUUUUGCAACUACAAGUUUUUUAAAAGAUCAAAAUUAUGUUUCAAAAUAAAAUUUCAAUCAUUACAUCUUUUCAAUAUAUGCUAGACAGUUAUUGAAUUAUUGUUUUAUAAUUAUAUUAUUUUCAAAGUUAGUAAUUUCGAUGGUUCGACUCAAAACAAGUGAAAUACAAAAUGUUUCUAUUAAAUUACUGAUAGGUGAUCUAAAAUGGGGCACAUUUCGACUAUGAUUGUACGGCGGUAAAUAAUUUCGCAGUGAUCGUCAAUUACUUAAACUGCAUCUUACCUAUGAUUAAAAUCAACACUAUAUUAGUUGUAUACUUGCACUUUUAUUCAUGCAGAAAGUAGAUCAAGCUAUUCAGUAAAGAAAUGAACGGUAAAAUAUAAAUACACAAUAGGGCACGUAGAAUUGAAGUCAAGUCAUCCGACAAUAGUUAUAAUGACAUAUGAAGCACUGCCUACAACGUAGACUUUUCAAUAAAAUGCAAAAAUCAACAUUAGCUGAUCACAUUUUAAUUAUUUGUAAUGACAGAAAAUGCAUUAUUAAAAAAAGCACCAAGAUUAGUUCAAAUAAUUUCAUAGGAGGCAUGUCAAGUACCUUCAAUAUACAAAUAAGGAGAUGUGGUAUAAUUGCAUAUGAGUUGAGACAAUUUUCCGCCAGAAACCAAAAUGCAAGGUCUUUCCGAAUUUAUAAUCUGUAUUGCUAUAAAGUUAAUUAGUUCAUACCAUUAUACAGCUAUUGCAUUUACCUGUCAAAUUAUAAGUACUCUAUAAUUCACAUUAACACAAAACUACAUUUUCUAUUCAUGUUUCUGCAUUGACGUGCAGUUUAGGUUUGGAUAAUACAGUACAAAUAUGCCACUGUACCUAUUGUUUUUUAUUAUCAUGACUUUGCUUCCGACAAAGUACUUUGGAACUUUGUGAUUGAAUAUACUCGGGGUAAGUACGUUUACUUGUAGUUUGUUUUAAUUAAAAUCGAUGUGUUUAAUCUGUAAUUGGAUUAAGUACAUACUGAAGCAUAGGCAUAACUGUCUUUUAAAACUUUUUGCACCAAUUUGCAAAACACAUAACACAUUAUACCCAAUAGAUCCAUCAAACCAAUUGGUAUCUAGUAAUACACAAAAUAUUGUAAACAUCUUGGUAUAAAUAACAGUGCCAGUACAAUUCGUUUUAAAGUACACUAUAAGAAUAUACCUAGAAUAAAAGCCAUGAAAAAACUACGCAUAACAAGGACAAUAAUAUAUGAACAUGAUAAACAACAGCAGAAUUCAGUUAGCUUUCAACAUUUACUAUUCAUGGUUUUGGUUGAAAACGAGAUAACAGAUAAGUGACAGUAAAAUGGUUUUUCUAUGAAAUGGAGACUCUGAUAAACUACAAAAUCGUUGUUGAAAUUUGAAUAAAUUAAAGUUUUGUUUUGUUACAGAGUGAUUUCCCUUGAUAUAAGACACAAAACGGAUGGGGAAAAAGAUGAUCAUGAUUUUCAAACAGAGUAGCCAUCCUAUAAUGAGUAAGUACAAGUAAGUAAAAGAUUUAAUAACUACGCCAAAAUAUACUACGCAACAAUUAUAAAUAUUAAAUUGAAGUGGUUUUUUUUUAAAAUGAAUUCAUAAUUAUUUGGAUAAUAUCAUACUUUACUUUAAAAAAAACCAUGAAAAACUAAGAUAUGUCUCUUGCAAAUACGUUCAACGUUAUGUUUAGCAUGUUCAAAGCCGAAACAAUAAGUAAUCUCGGGCAUAAUCAAUUUUCCAUUAUUCGGCUAUAGUUGAUGUAAUGUGACCACAUUUUGUAUCACAUGAUGAAGACCUGGGUGUAUAUUUAAAUUUGUCGUGAUUGGUUGCAAAAAUGAACGUAGAAUAUGUUGUGUUUGUAUUGAUUUUUAUUCUUUUUUUCUUUUUAAAUAAUCAGUAAAAGCAAUAAAUGACAUUUUGUUUUGUCCUUCAGGCUCACCAAAUUAUACAGAUGCCAAUAAACGUAUUAUACAUAUACAUGAUAAAGGGACGUUCUCAUUCUCUUUAUCAUAGUAUUUGUAUCUACCAUAAGCAACAUGAUGAGUUAACUGAUAUCUUCCAUUGUUUUAAGUAGGGUAAGCCAUGUUCAGUCUUUAGUAUUCUAAUUCGGAUUGUAUGAAAUGGUCGUCUACUGAUAAUUCACAAUAAUUUUCUUCAUGGGUAUUGAAUAUUACGUUGAUACCUUUGCCGCUUUUUUUUUACAAAAUAUAAGAAUAGAUUAUAAUGACAAUUUGUCCAUGUUAUCUUCACUUCUUAGAUGUAGACUAAUGUAAAUGUACCUGCCGUCUCUUUUUCAGCGGUUCACCGACAACUAACUAUAGAGGGAGUGUGAGACAGGUUACAUCAUUAUGUUAGAAAACAAGCCCAUACCAUAUAUUCGACAAUCAAAUGUAAGUACAGAAAAUCAGAGAAAUGGCGUUUGUUAAGUUUUAGGAAACAAGGUUUAACUUAAUUGUAGGAGCUAAUUUUACGAUAAAUUUAUUAAAAUAAAAACAAAAAAUAC